AUAUUUUCAGGGCACCUCGCCGCUGAAACGAGAGCUUGCGAGACUCCUUCCACUGGUUUGACGGUCUGCAGGGGUGUCUGCGGCCCGUGGAGGCUGGCCGGGAUGGCUCGCCGUGUGGAUGGUGCAAUAGGGUGGGAAAGUGACACCAAUAUAAAGACGCAAUCAAUGCCUCCUAUUCAUUAUCCGCGUGCAUGACUUCCAGUUAUGGCUGAACUUUCCCACGAGAGAGACUGAUUGAAUGCUUUCCAGUCCUUAUGGAAACUGGAAAACAUUCCGAAGAGCCGGGGUGAUCAUUUCCAUAAUUACCCCGAUUGGCAGCCUAAUGACCUUCUGGAACAAUAAAAAGAUCUCUUGUUAAUUCCAUUUCUGUCGCUGACAUUCAAGAGAUUCCUAUCUUACAUGUUUGAGGAUUCACAAGAUAACAAGUGUACUCUUUUUCAUUUUUUCAACC